CUAGUACUCCCUCUGUCCGGAAAUACUUGUCAUCAAAAUGGAUAAAAGGGUAUGUAUCUAGACGUAUUUUAGUUCUAGAUACAUCUUUUUUAUCCAUUUUGAUGACAAGUAUUUUCGGACAGAGGGAGUAUGUA
rnacentral:pre_miRNA from 1 species